rnacentral:lncRNA from 1 species
GAAAAAGGGAGAGAAGCAAAAUACUCUGAGGUUUCCUUGGAACAAAACCCUGAGGAAAAAGAUAGUGAGAGAAGACCUGACAGAGAACUCAGAGCAGCCUCCAAACCCUGAAGGGAACUCAACUUGUAAACCUCACGGGUGCAACUCAAUUUCAAUCAAGCUCUCCAAUCAGGUUUGCCCUAUAUCCAUCAUCUUUAUGCCUUUUAUUUG